ACUCAAAUGAAUUGACGGGGAUUCGCACAAGCGGUGGAUUAUGUGGCUUAAUUCGAUGUCGAACGAAAAACCUUACCAAGGUUUGAAACCAUACUGCACGCUCCCAGAAACGGGAGAAGCCUUCGAGGGUGUAUGGCAGGUGAUGCAUGGUCGUCGUCAGUUCGUGGCUUGAGCUGUUCCCUUAAGUGGGGAAACGAACGCAACCCCUGUUGCCUGUUUAAUUUGUCAGGCGAGACUGCUUCCUCACGGAAGAGGAAGGAAGGGAUGACGCCAGAUCAGCAUGUCCCUCUGAUACCUUGGGCUGCACACAUAAUACAAUGGGCGCGACAAAAGGCUGCGAAGUGGUAACACGGAGCUAAUCCUUAAACGCGUCCUCAAUACGGAUUGAGGUCUGCAACUCGACCUCAUGAAGCCGGAAUCGCUAGUAAUCGUAGGUCAGCAGACUACGGUGAAUACGUUCUCGAAUCUUGUACACACCGCCCGU
rnacentral:rRNA from 1 species